rnacentral:rRNA from 1 species
UAGUCAUAUGCUUGUCUCAAAGACUAAGCCAUGCAUGUCUAAGUAUGAAUGUUAUACAGUGAAACUGCGAAUGGCUCAUUAAAACAGUUAUUGUUUAUUUGAUAAUCAAAUUUACAUGGAUAACCGUGGUAAUUCUAGAGCUAAUACAUGCUGAUAUGCCUGACUCUUAGGAAGGGCUGUAUUUAUUAGAUAACAAACCAAUAUUCCUCGUGUCUAUUGUGAUGACUCAUAAUAACUGAUCGAAUCGCACAUGACUUGUCCGCGAUACAUCAUUCAAGUUUCUGCCCCAUCAGCUUUCGAUGGUAGUGUAUUGGACUACCAUGGCUUUAACGGGUAACGGAGGAUUAGGGUUCGAUUCCGGAGAGGGAGCCUGAGAAACGGCUACCACCACAUCUAAGGAAGGCAGCAGGCGCGUAAAUUACCCAAUCCUAAUUCAGGGAGGUAGUGACAAGAAAUAACGGACUGAGGCCUACGCUUCAGGAUUGCAAUGAGUAGAAUUUAAACCCCUUUGCGAGGAUCAAUU